UGGGGAUCGGAUGAACUAGCAUGCGAGUCAUUGUAGCAAUACAAGGCAGACGGCUCAGUAACGCGUAGUCAACCUAACCUAUGGACGGGAAUAAUCUCGGGAAACUGAGAAUAAUGCCCGAUAGAACACUAUAUCUGGAAUGGUUUGUGUUCCAAAUGAUUUAUCGCCAUAGGAUGGGACUGCGGCCUAUCAGUUUGUUGGUGAGGUAAUGGCCCACCAAGACUAUUACAGGUACGGGCUCUGAGAGGAGUAGCCCGGAGAUGGGUACUGAGACACGGACCCAGGCCCUAUGGGGCGCAGCAGGCGAGAAAACUUUGCAAUGUGCGAAAGCACGACAAGGUUAAUCCGAGUGGUUUCUGCUAAAGGAACCUUUUGUCGGUCCUAGAAACACCGAUGAAUAAGGGGUGGGCAAGUUCUGGUGUCAGCCGCCGCGGUAAAACCAGCACCUCAAGUGGUCAGGAUGAUUAUUGGGCCUAAAGCAUCCGUAGCCGGCUCUGUAAGUUUUCGGUUAAAUCUGUACGCUUAACGUACAGGCUGCCGGGAAUACUGCAUAGCUAGGAAGUGGGAGAGGUAGACGGUACUCGGUAGGAAGGGGUAAAAUCCUUUGAUCUAUUGAUGACCACCUGUGGCGAAGGCGGUCUACCAGAACACGUUCGACGGUGAGGGAUGAAAGCUGGGGGAGCAAACCGGAUUAGAUACCCGGGUAGUCCCAGCUGUAAACUAUGCAAACUCAGUGAUGCAUUGGCUUGUGGCCAAUGCAGUGCUGCAGGGAAGCCGUUAAGUUUGCCGCCUGGGGAAGUACGUACGCAAGUAUGAAACUUAAAGGAAUUGGCGGGGGAGCACCACAAGGGGUGAAGCCUGCGGUUCAAUUGGAGUCAACGCCGGG
rnacentral:rRNA from 1 species